rnacentral:rRNA from 1 species
GACGAACGCUGGCGGCGUGCCUAAUACAUGCAAGUUGAGCGAUGAAGAUUGGUGCUUGCUCCAAUUUGAAGAGCAGCGAACGGGUGAGUAACGCGUGGGGAAUCUGCCUUUGAGCGGGGGACAACAUUUGGAAACGAAUGCUAAUACCGCAUAACAACUUUAAACAUAAGUUUUAAGUUUGAAAGAUGCAAUUGCAUCACUCAAAGAUGAUCCCGCGUUGUAUUAGCUAGUUGGUGAGGUAAAGGCUCACCAAGGCGAUGAUACAUAGCCGACCUGAGAGGGUGAUCGGCCACAUUGGGACUGAGACACGGCCCAAACUCCUACGGGAGGCAGCAGUAGGGAAUCUUCGGCAAUGGACGAAAGGCUGACCGAGCAACGCCGCGUGAGUGAAGAAGGUUUUCGGAUCGUAAAACUCUGUUGGUAGAGAAGAACGUUGGUGAGAGUGGAAAGCUCAUAAAGUGACGGUAACUACCCAGAAAGGGACGGCUAACUACGUG